ACACGUCGAGAAGUAUGUGAGAAGAGGUCGAUUGGACUGGCCAGAGAAUGCAACAUCUCGGGAAAGCAUUAAAGCUGUCCUAAAGCUACCUCGUCUCCAGAACAUAGUAAUGCAGCUUGUAGAUCACUCAGCUGGGUACCUAAUAGAUCUGUUGCAAGGGCUUCUUAGGUAUGAUCCUUCCAAUAGACUUAACUGCUCGUGAAGCCCUCAGGCACCCUUUCCUAACAGGAGAUUAUUACCGGAGAUUUUAAGUAGAUUUUGUGUUUUGUCAUUUUCACAUCAUUGUGAGGCCACUAAAUGAGUUCCAAAGUGAGAUGUGAGUGUGGAUUUCUGAAGAAUCUGAACAAAUGUCCAUUCUUAGUGAAGCCUUAUUGUAGGGUGGCCAGGUACCUUGUUCUCAUGAAAUGUUAUAUUGUUCAGCUUUUGUAGACAAUAUAAGUUGUCAGGAGAUCCCCAUUGUUGUAUCAAAGACUUUGCAGUUGUUUAUGCAGGGCCUUUUUCC